CGGCAAUAGCUCAAAUUUGAAAUCUGGCUCUUUUAGGGUCCGAAUUGUAAUUUGUAGAGGGUGCUUCGGCGUUGGCCCCGGCCUAAGUUCCUUGGAAUAGGAUGUCACAGAGGGUGAGAACCCCGUACGUGGCUGCUGGUCUUCGCCAUGUGAAGCCCCUUCGAC
rnacentral:rRNA from 1 species